AUUGAACGCUGGCGGCAGGCUUAACACAUGCAAGUCGAGCGGGCGAGGUUGCUUCGGUAACUGAGCUAGCGGCGGACGGGUGAGUAAUGCUUAGGAAUCUGCCUAUUAGUGGGGGACAACAUUCCGAAAGGAAUGCUAAUACCGCAUACGCCCUAAGGGGGAAAGCAGGGGAUCUUCGGACCUUGCGCUAAUAGAUGAGCCUAAGACAGAUUAGCUAGUUGGUGGGGUAAAGGCCUACCAAGGCGACGAUCUGUAGCGGGUCUGAGAGGAUGAUCCGCCACACUGGGACUGAGACACGGCCCAGACUCCUACGCGAGGCAGCAGUGGGGAAGAUUGGACAAUGGGCGCAAGCCUGAUCCAGCCAUGCCGCGUGUGUGAAGAAGGCCUUUUGGUUGUAAAGCACUUUAAGCGAGGAGGAGGCUACUUGGAUUAAUACUCUAGGAUAGUGGACGUUACUCGCAGAAUAAGCACCGGCUAACUCUGUGCCAGCCGCCGCAGUAAUAC
rnacentral:rRNA from 1 species